rnacentral:rRNA from 1 species
GAUGAACGCUGGCGGCGUGCUUAACACAUGCAAGUCGAGCGAAGCGCUUUGAAUUUUUCGGAAUGAGAAGUGACUGAGCGGCGGACGGGUGAGUAACGCGUGGGUAACCUGCCUCAUACAGGGGGAUAACAGUUAGAAAUGACUGCUAAUACCGCAUAAGACCACAGCACCGCGUGGUGCAGGGGUAAAAACUCCGGUGGUAUGAGAUGGACCCGCGUCUGAUUAGCUAGUUGGUGGGGUAACGGCCCACAAAGGCGACGAUCAGUAGCCGGCCUGAGAGGGUGAACGGCCACAUUGGGACUGAGACACGGCCCAG